GACGAACGCUGGCGGCGUGCUUAACACAUGCAAGUCGAACGGAAAGGCCCUGCUUUUGUGGGGUGCUCGAGUGGCGAACGGGUGAGUAACACGUGAGUAACCUGCCCUUGACUUUGGGAUAACUUCAGGAAACUGGGGCUAAUACCGGAUAGGAGCUCCUGCUGCAUGGUGGGGGUUGGAAAGUUUCGGCGGGUGGGGAUGGACUCGCGGCUUAUCAGCUUGCUGGUGGGGUAGUGGCUUACCAAGGCUUUGACGGGUAGCCGGCCUGAGAGGGUGACCGGCCACAUUGGGACUGAGAUACGGCCCAGACUCGUACGGGAGGCAGCAGUGGGGAAUAUUGCACAAUGGGCGGAAGCCUGAUGCAGCAACGCCGCGUGCGGGAUGACGGCCUUCGGGUUGUAAACCGCUUUCGCCUGUGACGAAGCGUGAGUGACGGUAAUGGGUAAAGAAGCACCGGCUAACUACGUG
rnacentral:rRNA from 1 species